rnacentral:tRNA from 2 species
GCCGGCUUAGCUCAGCUGGUAGAGCAGCGGUUUUGUAAACCGAAGGUCGGGGGUUCAAUUCCCUCAGCCGGCACCA